rnacentral:lncRNA from 1 species
UUCUCUAUUUUUGAAUCCUUCCUUAUUUGAUUUGACAUUUGCAAAAAUUCAAUAAAAUCUCAUUUUAUUGGAUUAAUCAUUUGAAAAAUUAUAUAAAAUAUUUUCUUAUUUGAGAUUUAUUAAUAGAAUCCAUCAAAUAAACUAAUAAAUAGAAAUAUCAUCUCUUAUAUAUGAUGGAAUCAAAGGUUUGAAAAAGUUAUUUUCGGAAACUAAAAAUGGAAAUUUUUGAAAUAAAUAAGGUAAUUUACUUUCAAUCUAAAAAUAUUUAAAGCAUCUUAUUCUCGUGCUCGACACAAAUCAAAAUCUGAUUUUGUAUAGAUUCUUAACUUUGAGCAUCUAUCAAAUAUGUAUUAAAUGUGAAACACAAAAAACCUGAUGAGAUUUUUGUUAUAUAGAGUACAUUAAAAAUAUACUAAGAAAAUGAAAAAAAAAAUGGUAAGUAACAUGUAAUGGUAAAAAUUUACGGCCCUCGGCCAGGAACAUUCUAGUCAUAAAAGAAAAUCUUCGAUAAUAUGUCAGGGCCGGCUUAACUUUUCAUUGGGCCCAUCGGCAAUUUUUUUAUACAUUAUAGAUGAUUAAAAAAAUAUUAUAGGGCCCUUAUUAACCAAAAAAAAUAAAAAUAAUUGGGGCUCCUUUUGUUAUUAAAGUUUAAACUUUAAAUUGGAACCAAUAAAAUUUUAAACUGGAACCAAUUAAAUUUUUAAACUGGAACCAAUAAAAUAAAAGUUUAUAAUUUCGUUAACCAAGCCAUUUAGACUUAUAAAAAGUCAACUAUUAAAUAUUUACUAACAGAUUUAACGUUGACUUUCAAUGGUUCUAAAAUGGUUGAAUCAUCAAAAGUAUUGAAUUUAUUCAUAUUUAACUGAAAAGUUGGUGAUUAAAAUGAUGCAUUUGUGAGUUGCAGUUUUUUUUUUUUUGCUUAUUUUGGUAAGUUCAUGUUUAGCCUUUUUCUUUAUUUUUUUAAUCAUUCCUUAUUUGAUUUGACAUUCAAUAAAAUCUCAGUUUAUUGGAUUAAUCAUUUGAAAAAUUAUAUAAAAUAUUUUCUUAUAUAUUGGAGAUUUAUUAAUUGAAUCCAUCAAAUAAACUAAUGAAUAAAAAUAUCAUCUCUUAAAGUAUCAACGAUUUUUAAGAAGUUAUUUUUCGAAAAAAAUUAGUUUCAAUUUUUUAAAAAGAAAUGAAAAUUGUUGAAAUAAAAAAGGUAAUUUACUUUCAAUCUAAAAAUAUUUAAAGCAUCUUAUUCUCGUUCUCGAUACACAUCAAAAUCUGGUUUUGUAUAGAUUCUUAACUUUGAGCGUCUAUCAAAUUUUUUGUUAAAUGUGAAACAUUAAAAAAUUAUGAAUUUUUUUUAUAUAGAAUACAUUAAAAAUAUACUAAGAAAAUCAAAAGAAAAAAAAUCGUACAAACAUGUAAUGGUAAAAAAUUUCGGCUCUCAGCCAUGAACAUUCUAGUCAUAAAAAAAAUCUACGAUCAUAUGUCAAGACCAGCUUAACUUUUCAUUGAUAGAUGAUUAAAAAAAUAUUAUGAAGCCCUUAUUAACAAAAAAAAAAAAAUUAGAGCUCUUUUUGUUAUUAAAUUUGAUAGGUUUUAGGGUGAGCCCCGGGUGAAUGCACUGCUGGUCCUGUCUCCUGAGCCAGCGCUGUAAUAUGUGAAAACGUAACGUAAACAAUAAAAAAAAAAUUUACAAAAGAAAAUUUUGGAAGAUUAUUGACAUUAUAAAAAAUCAUUUAACGACGUUAGUUUUCGACUGUCAAUGCAAUCUUAUCAUGGACACCGUAAAUGGUCCAAAAGAGGUCAAACAAAAAAGGUUAACAUGUUAAAUAAGAAAUAGCCACGUUUAUUGUAUUUCGUUUUUGUUUUAUUGGUUGAAAUUUUGGUUCACUCUCCAAGAUAAUUAAUUAAUGGACAACCAAAUAGACAACCUAAAUUGAUUCGCGAAUCUUUGGUUUCAUAUGAACACAUAAUACAUCUUUGUUUUACUAGAAAUUUUGGUUAGCUCUCCAAAAUAAUGACAACCUAAAC